rnacentral:rRNA from 1 species
UAAACGACUCUCGGCAACGGAUAUCUCGGCUCUUGCAUCGAUGAAGAACGUAGCGAAAUGCGAUACUUGGUGUGAAUUGCAGAAUCCCGUGAACCAUCGAGUCUUUGAACGCAAGUUGCGCCUGAAGCCAUUAGGCUGAAGGCACGUCUGCCUGGGC